UCCCUGGUGGCUCAGAGAUUAAAGCGCCUGCCUGUAAUGCAGGAGACCAGGGUUCAAUCUCUGGGUUGGGAA
rnacentral:tRNA from 1 species